rnacentral:lncRNA from 1 species
AAAAGACUACCUACCCCCACAAACCAAGACCCUUAUGAUCGAAGAUUCCGAAGACAAACCACACCAAAACCGAAGUGCAGAGAGACAAAUAAAAAAACGACAUACACAACAACCGAAGAUCUACCAUGAUAGAAAACGUAAACAAAAACAGAAUUAGAGGUAACCGAUGAACAGUUUAUAGAGAUGAAUCUCGAACUUUGAGGGCAUGUUUCUUUGAAAGGGUAAUGGUAUGUUACGGGGUAUAAUUUUAAAAAUACUUGAUUUCAUAGACGCGUCCUGCCGCUUCGCAUUCAGUUACCGUUUAGUACAGGCUUGUUUACUAAUCUUGCAACUUCUUGAGAUGCAUGGGAUUGAAGGGGUGUGUAGGUAUGAGAAAAAUUGAAACAUGGACCAAUGACACAGUGAGUUAUAAAUGAUGUGUGACAGUUGCUGGAGAAGAGGCAUAUAUAGUACACAUAGUUGAACAAUGUUGUGUGACAGUUGCUGUAAAAUUAGUUGAGAUCCCUUGUAAAGGUGAGCAAUUCAUAUGUAAGAAGCAAAUUCAUUUGGCGUUGACGAUGCAAAUACUAUCACAUGCUCUACAUUUGAAACUAAUUUUUUGGCAUUAAAAGACAUUGCAAAUAGAGGAUUAUAGAAAGUGAAGCUGAAAUUAGGAACUUUGUUCUCUAGUAAAAUAUAAAAGUCGAUACAUUGUCUAUAUUGUUGAUCAACGUCAGGUAAACACCACACUAUUCCAAGCCAAGAGCAGCAAAAAAUUUGAACACCCCCAACGAGCCUGCCUGAACACCCCAACUGGAAGAUUUAGAGAGAAAUUGCAGCAGUGGCAAAAGAGUUUUUGACAGUUUAAAUGUAUUCUAAGUAUGAGCUAAUACUUUUGUUUGUGAAUCGAGACAGGCACUGAAGCAUACUUUUCAAGUUUCAAAAAGACAGGAGUAAGAGGAUAAAAUGUAGGGUUAUAAUAAACCAAGCUAAUGCCAGAAAGAAGGGAGAAAACAAAGUGAGAGCGGUAGCCAAAUGCAAAGAUUGGCAAGAGAUGAGUUGAUGUAGAGAAUAAACAUGCCAAAUUAACUUGCAAACUAAUUCAUCAGUAGAAAACCCUACAACUAUUGAAAGAGCUAACCAUUUAUUAGAAUUGAUGACAGAAAGCACCUACGAACUCGUAAGGCAGCUAAUAGUAGAUUCCGGCUUCCCUCUUUUUACGGCUCGUAGGGCAGCUAGACGCAAUUGUCUUGUCUGAGAAAAAGUCAGUAUUAAGAGUCGAGGAAGAAAAUUGUACAAAGAAAAGUGAAAUAGAAAAGAUCAAAGAAGGUAACCAGCCAAAAGAUUGAUAUGAAAUUAGGAAAAUACAACUAUAACUGGAUUUUGCUAGUCGUUGAGAAGGACAACAAUCUCAGUAUCUAACAUAUGAACCAAGUUUGAACAGAGGGACAACAACCUAUAAAUCCCUGCAACAGCCUAAGCAAAUGAGUUAUUAAAAUAAUGGUUAAUGAUAAGCAGCAUAUAAAAGGAAUAAAAAGAGCUUUGCUGCAUUUGCAACAUUGAGGUUAUGUUCAAUAGACGAACCAGGCUCAACAUAAUUCAGAUUUCCUACAUAUAUAAGUUUCCAACAAUAUUUAAAAGAGAAACACAACUGUAAUAGAACAACAAAGAAUGUAACAUCUGAAGCACUGGUUUUGUGGAAAAGGCAGAAUCUUGUAAGGAAUCCUAGAGCCCCGAUCAUAUUGUACUACUAAGUGAUCAUCAAUUCCAUUUGAACAGGUCGGCUACUUCAAAACUAACUAACCAUCAUAAGUGCUCACCCUGCCGGGAAAAAAAAUAGUAGCGCGAUAUUAAUUAACACUAUUUCUAUAUAAAAUAUGGUAAACGGGGAUAAUUUCUAAACCCCAGAUUAAGAAGGAUAAUUUUUCUGGUGUAAGAAUAUGGAGUGACCUUAUAGGAGGAGAUGACAGGCUAAUACCUUGUUUGUUGCAUUGAAGAGAAGCUGAAACUCAAACUUCAAGCCAAACUCUGGUCGCAAUCGAGGCAAACUUUGACUCAAUGCAUCUAAAAGAACAAAUGGAAAAGCAGCACAUGCGUUAGCUACAGUCCAAAGCCAUCAUUGUUGCUGCAAGAGUUGAGCAGCUUGCUGUACUCGGACUGUGCUUGUAAACAAUAAAGUUUCAGAUUGCUCACUCGUCAACUUAUACCAAUUUACAAACCUAUACACAGACCAACAUUUCACAUAUAUCCUAAAGAAAGUUUAAGACACGGUUGGUGAAUGUUGCGAAAACAUGCUUAACUCUAUCGAAAAACCCAUCAAUAAGCAAAGCUAUUAGCUAAGCAAAGAACUUGCAGAAGAAAGAAAUAACAUAUCUAUGCUAUGAUCCAAACGUGGAACGCCUAAGCUUAUAAAACCUGAUCAUGGCUUUGAUAUAUCACUAUAUCAGGGCUUUAACCUUAAUUUCAGAUGUGGAUAUCUCAAAAGCCUUUCUAUGAUAUCAUCUUUAGAGUAUAUUAAGGCUCCCACAACAACAUGGGUUCAAUAUAAGAAUUGUUAUAGUUCUUGAAGCUCACCGAAUCAGGCAGGGGAACAAUAUACUUACAUCAUCAAUUAUUGUGGCAUUGCAGCGCCUUAAUCGUAAGAGGAACCCUACAAAAUUAUUCAAAGAUAGAUUCCAAUAUGAAAGAAGGGAAAAACAUAUCAAAACGAUUACAAAGCUCAAAUCUUUAGCAAAAAAAAGGAAAAAAAAAGACAUAAUUUACCGGCCAUCAACACGCAAACUGAGCACCAUGAAUCUACAAGUAGAUUUGCUUCCCCUCUCUAAGAAUAAUGAAAAAAAGAAAAGCAACAACCAAAUUAACUGGUAUACAAGCUAGUAAUCAUAAUAUCUGAAACACAAAAUCAACGAUAUGAAACCUCAACUCCUAAGAAUUAGAAGUUCAAGCAAUAAAGCGGAAAACAGCUUGCUGCCAGCCAAGAGCAAUAGUGGAAGGCCUUUGGGCUUUAUUUAAUGUUAAUGAUUAUUAGUUUUGAAUAACUAAAAGACGUGAAAUUUGAGUACCUCCUACCUAAAACCGAUGCCAACCUGGACGGCAGAGAUUCUAUAUCAGAAUAUGCUGAAGAAAUUUUCGGAAACGAAGACGUUACAAAUGCCCAACAUAAUUUCCCAUUACCAACACAUUUUGCUUCAUUCAUCUUCACCAGACCAACACAUAAACUCAGUGGAUAAACGAAAACAUGAAAACAAACACUGGGUACUGAUUACUUACUGUGGAACAAAAACAAACAAAAAAAGAAAAUCAUACUGCAAUAGGAAUUGAAUCCAACGAAACAUGGAAAAAAAGUAG